CCCUCCACCUGCAGGAGUUAGUGACAAGGAGGGCGCGCGCUUGGGUCUAGGGGUGGGGAGGCAGUGGCCAGUUCAGGGCUCCGAUUGAGAGAGGUGGCAAAGUUUAGAGGCAGCCACUAGGAUGUGGGUGCGGGGAGAAGCGGGGCUAACUAGAAAGGAGACUAGGUUUUGGGACAGCGGUCAUGUAGUAGGCAGACUCCGAACCGCCUUUAACAGUCCACACAGGGCCAGCAGCCUUCAAGGCCUGGCAUUUCCUGCGGUCUGCUGGCAUGGGGGCACUUGACGUCCAGGAGGGCACAAGCAAGUUUCACAGGCCUACAUCGGGCGGGUGGCCUAGCUUGAGUCGCAGAGCAGCAGUUGGUGGAGACAGGUGGACUGGGGCCCUUGAGGCCUGGGAAACCAUAGACAGGCGGCCGGGCAGAAGUCCGGGCAGUACUAGGUGCACAGUGGAGGUCGCCUCCGAACUUGACAACACCAGCAGACCCUUUUUUUCCAGAUAAGGGGCUGUGAACCCUCCUGGGGAUGAGGCCUGAUGUUAUGGAAAGUGGACUUAGCUUCGCUGGGCGGACAACUCUGGCCCAGGGUGGUAUGUAACUUGGGUGUGGCCUGUCUGCACCUAUUUCUGGGUGCAAGGGGUGACAGGAGGAGGAGUAGCUGCAGAGACAAGGAGUUGUUUUCACUGACAGGUCAGCCAGGCGGGGACCACGGAGACUGAAGGCGCGCGUUUGGGGGCAGUGUUGAUCACAACUUUAUUUUUCAGAUGGCAGUGCCCUCUCUGGACUUUGCCUAGGUCCCGUGCUCUUCUGUGAUCUCCCUCUCCCCUUCUCUUCUCCUCACCCUGAGGCGAAGGGGUUACUUUAAACAUUGCCUCUGGGUCAUCUGGUAAGCCUGGGGAAGAUGCACAUUCUGCUGGAGUCUCGGGCACAGCAUUUUGGUAUUACUGGUAAAGGUGGAGGUCACCCUGCCUGGGCGGGGAGGGUUGGUGUUGAUUCACAGAGGGUGGGAUGUGAGUGUGGACCCUUGGGUGGGCUCACGGCCGCGGCUCCAGGCACCCAAAUGCUUCACGGACGUGGUUUAUUACUAUAGUGUCCACCAUGACAAGCAGUUGGCACCAGCAGAAAUGGAGCCCCUGCCAGUGAGCCGUAGCAGUGCCGGAGGGAGGGCACGCCCUGGAGGAAACAGCGGCCUAAGCUGAUGCCUACACAGUGAAUUCCAGACAGAGGCUUAGGAAUCUGCGCUGCCAUGGGUCCAGGCCUUUCUCGGGAAGCCCUGUGUGCAGGAGGUCAUCGUUUAAGUCAGCUUGUGGGGGCGGGCAGGUGCUUCCGGCCAGAGGGGCGUCGGCUAUGAAUGUUCCAGAUGAAAGUCAUGUUCUGGGAGCAUCAUUUUUCCUGGAUGCUUUGAGUGCCAGCAGGCGCCCCUUUUCCCGGGGGUAGAGGCAUUCAGCUGCUGCGUCUUCUAAACAAGCCUCCAACCUUUCUAAUUCUGAGCUAUGAACUUGGCCUCGAGAAGAUUGCGUAAGGUGUAGGACACUUUAACUUCAGCACAGCAAGAUGCCUUGUAGAUCUGGAGUCCGACCUCGCCCUCCUCCCCUGUCUGCAGCCUGCCUGCCUCUGCAUUGGUCAGAGGAAUUCAUAACUGAAAACUUUCGGGUGUUGGGGAAAGCUGGUGGGUUUUAAGUGACUGGUGUGGAAGAGUCUUGGAUGGGUGGGGUUUGUGUUGUAAAAGCGUGGGAAGGCACAAGUUAGCCACAAAUUCUGUGGAGUUGGUAGAUGGCAUGGUUGGGCUUUGGGAUGUCUUCUGAACUAAGGGAAGGUGGGCCUGCUGUGAUCCCUGGGAAUUUGUGGGUUUGGAUUUUGUACUGGGUGGUAGGCAAGUGCUAUCUCGCUGAGUGGCAACAGUGUUCAUUAACCUUAAGACAUGGGGCCUGGCUGUGUAUACCAGGCUGGUCUGGGUUCUUGGCCCUGCUAGGAUGACAGGUGUCUUCUAAAACACACCUUCCAAGGUGAAACUUGAGUUACUGAAUUAUGCUUGGGAACAACACUUUUGGCACCAGAUGUGGGACUUGUGGGAAAGAACAGGGCUCAGUUGGGCCCUGGUGUAUUGGUGAAUUGAAGGAGUCGGGGUGCCGGGAAGGGAUGUGUUUGGAAAUGUGGGUUGAUGGGACUAACAGCUUGGGAACUGAAUGACUCUCACUUGAAAACCUAAAGGCUGAUGGUAAAUCCUUAAGGCAGGUGACUAUGUUGAGAUGCUGAGACAGUUGCUUGGAAAAUACCAAAAUCCUACAAGGGGAAAAGCAAAAUUGUUUUGCUUUACUGUUGAAUGGGGAAGGGUGACAAAUAGGGAAGGGUGAUGUUAAAGCUUUUAUUAGUUUCUCAAUAGAUGGUGUCAAUCCCCUGACUCAGGCCAGCCUGCAGGUGGCCUGACUAAGGGCUCUUAGACUUGGCUCUUCUGGGUCUCUUAAUAUUCUGUCAAAUGCUGUCAUCUAAAGAAAUUGAAUAUGGGAUUCAAACCUUAUACAACAAACACAGGAAUUUAAUGUAUGAACUAUGCCUUCAAAACAAUUUGAGUUUCUGGAAUUACCCAGAAGAUAACAGGGUUUGCUUAUUUAACCUUUCAAAUCAGUCAUUGUGACUAGGGGACAUAGUCUGGCACUUGCUAUGAGAUCAUUGUGCUGUGUGGUAGAAAGCCACACCUGUCUACUUCCGCCAAGGCUGUGCUACAGGCAGACAUUGUGGGUUUGGCUCGAAUGGUGCUUGAAAACCAUCCCUGAGCAGAGGGGAAACUAACUGUAACCGUCAGUUAAAGCAUUUUGGGAAAUAAAAGUGAAAAAACUGGGCAGGCGGGAACAUACUAGAUAACGCUCUGUAAAAAUUGGCUCUGAAAACCCUGUUUGUGUAUUUGUGAAAACCCUGUAUAUGUGAUUGUUUUGAGAGUAUGCCUUAAAUGGUGUGACCCAGGCCUGGUCACUCAUUGGAACAGCAGGGUGCUGGUCACGUUGGAAUGGGGAAAUGUGAAGAUGGCUGUAACUGCAGGUCCGCCGCACCCAUUGUGUGCCGAAGUGUUAAGUGUACAAACCCACUAACCAUUUAUCUCUCCCCUUUACAGCAAAAUAAAGGUUUGAGAUUGAA